rnacentral:rRNA from 1 species
UACAGAGGUCCCGAGCGUUGUUCGGAUUUAUUGGGCGUAAAGGGUGCGUAGGCGGCGGAGUAAGUUGGGUGUGAAAUCCCGAGGCUCAACCUCGGAAUUGCAUUCAAUACUGCUUCGCUCGAGUACUGGAGAGGAGGCUGGAAUUUACGGUGUAGCAGUGAAAUGCGCAGAUAUCGGGAGGAACACCCGUAGCGAAGGCGGCACUCUGGGCCGGUACUGACGCUGAGGAGCGAAAGCGUGGGGAGCAAACAGG